CACGUAGGGUGCGAGCGUUGUCCGGAAUCAUUGGGCGUAAAGCGCGCGUAGGCGGCCCGGUAAGUCCGCUCUGAAAGUCCAAGGCUCAACCUUGGAAUGCGGGUGGAUACUGCCGGGCUAGAGUCCGGAAGAGGCGAGUGGAAUUCCUGGUGUAGCGGUGGAAUGCGCAGAUAUCAGGAGGAACACCCAUAGCGAAGGCAGCUUGCUGGGACGUUACUGACGCUAAGGCGCGAAAGCGUGGGGAGCGAACAGG
rnacentral:rRNA from 1 species